rnacentral:rRNA from 1 species
AUUGAACGCUGGCGGAAUGCUUUACACAUGCAAGUCGAACGGCAGCACGGACUUCGGUCUGGUGGCGAGUGGCGAACGGGUGAGUAACAUAUCGGAACGUAUCCAAUAAUGGGGGAUAACGAGUCGAAAGAUUCGCUAAUACCGCAUACGCCCUACGGGGGAAAGCUGGGGACCUUCGGGCCUGGAGUUAAUGGGGCGGCCGAUAUCUGAUUAGCUAGUUGGUGAGGUAAAGGCUCACCAAGGCGACGAUCAGUAGCUGGUCUUAGAGGACGACCAGCCCCACUGGAACGGAGACACGCUCCAGGCUCCUCCGUGAGGCAGCAGUGGGGAAUUUUGGACAAUGGGCGCAAGCCUGAUCCAGCCAUUCCGCGUGAGUGACGUAGGCCUUCGGGUUGUAAAGCUCUUUCGCAAGGGAAGAAAACUUAGCCACUAACAUUGGUUGAGGUUGACGGUACCUUGAUAAGAAGCACCGGCUAUCUACGUGCCAGCCGCCGCCGUAA